GCUAUAAAAUAAAACACAGUUGUCUCUUGUGGAAUUUUGGCUGCCUGAAAUUCUGGACUUUCUUGUUGGCAGCCUUAAAAAUACUGGUGUAAAUCAGUACCAAAUGGAUAUCAAAAUUCCAUGUCCUAGUAGUAAUCAUUGAAUUGGCUUCCAAAACAGAUUCCUGGGCAAAUAAAGGGAAAAAUGCAGUAUCUUUAGGGAUUUGAUCAUUUCACUGUUUUUAAAAAUAUUGAAAUGUGUUAUACACUACUGGCAGCUUCCACGUGUAUACAUUUAGUCUAUAAUUAAUGUCCAGUUGAGACAGGAUUUGUUUGUAGCACCUUUAUCAUCAGAGCUCUGCUUGCUAUCCUUUCUAGAAUUGAGAGAGAUGAAAAUUUAUUAUUAACUUUAAAGUUAUUUUCAUCCAAAUCUACAAUACUUUUGUUGUUUUUGUUUUCUUUUGCCAUCUUAUACAUGCUUUAACUUUAAAAAGGUAAGAUGUAACUCAGGAUCUAAGAUAAUGAUGAUCCACUUCAAAGCAAAUGAAAUACAUGGAAUGAAUAUGGCCAGUGGAUUCUCACAUGAUUUUAUAGAUAAGUUUGUUGGGAUUUUUUUUUAGCAUGUUUUAUGUGAGCUGAAAUGUGCAGGGCCAUCUGUUCAGUCAUAGCUGAGAGAGUUAGAAUAGGAGAUCAUUCUGUGCAAGAGGGAUUUCAGGAUAAGUGGAGCUACAGACACUCUGCUUAGAACCCAAAUCAGGUGUCCCAGUGUGAGCUUCUGCCCGAUACAGAGAUGGAGGGAGGCAAGGAAGAGAAGCAGGAAAACAAAGAAUGAGGGAUAGAAAAAAUAGAGGAUUAAAUCUGGAAAGCAAUAGUUUGGGACACAGAGAAAUGUAAGAAGGCAGAAGCAUACCGAUUUAUGAAAACAUAAUUUUAAUAUACGACUUAAUGACUUUUACUAAGUCACUUACCCAUCACAAAUUUCCUUAAAGGAAUCUCUUUUCUUCCUUUCUGGUUGUCCCAUAUGGUUCACUCCAUUGUCUUGACAAUUUAGAUUUAUCAAGUUGUGAAACUAAAGCUAGAUGACAAUGACCUAAAAUAGUUUGAUGGCGAAUAAACUUGC
rnacentral:lncRNA from 1 species